rnacentral:rRNA from 1 species
AGUGAACGCUGGCGGUAGGCCUAACACAUGCAAGUCGAACGGCAGCACAGUAAGAGCUUGCUCUUACGGGUGGCGAGUGGCGGACGGGUGAGGAAUACAUCGGAAUCUACUUUUUCGUGGGGGAUAACGUAGGGAAACUUACGCUAAUACCGCAUACGACCUACGGGUGAAAGCAGGGGAUCUUCGGACCUUGCGCGAUUGAAUGAGCCGAUGUCGGAUUAGCUAGUUGGCGGGGGAAAGGCCCACCAAGGCGACGAUCCGUAGCUGGUCUGAGAGGAUGAUCGGCCACACUGGAACUGAGACACGUUCCAGACUCCUACGGGAGGCCGCAGUGGGGAAUAUUGGGCAAUGGGCGCAAGCCUGAUCCAGCCAUACCGCGUGGGUGAAGAAGGCCUUCGGGUUGUAAAGCCCUUUUGUUGGGAAAGAAAAGCAGCAGGUUAAUACCCCGCUGUUCUGACGGUACCCAAAGAAUAAGCACCGGCUAACUUCGUG